AUUGAACGCUGGCGGCAUGCCUUACACAUGCAAGUCGAACGGCAGCACGGGAGCAAUCCUGGUGGCGAGUGGCGAACGGGUGAGUAAUAUAUCGGAACGUGCCCAGUCGUGGGGAUAACGUAGCGAAAGCUACGCUAAUACCGCAUACGAUCUAUGGAUGAAAGCGGGGGAUCGCAAGACCUCGCGCGAUUGGAGCGGCCGAUAUCAGAUUAGGUAGUUGGUGAGGUAAAGGCUCACCAAGCCGACGAUCUGUAGCUGGUCUGAGAGGACGACCAGCCACACUGGGACUGAGACACGGCCCAGACUCCUACGGGAGGCAGCAGUGGGAAUUUUGGACAAUGGGCGCAAGCCUGAUCCAGCAAUGCCGCGUGCAGGAUGAAGGCC
rnacentral:rRNA from 1 species